rnacentral:rRNA from 1 species
UUCCGGUUGAUCCCGCCGGAGGCUACCGCUAUUGGAGUUCGAUUAAGCCAUGCGAGUCGCGAGUCUUAGGGACUCGGCGUACCGCUCAGUAACACGUGGGUAACCUGCCCUAUGCUGGGGAAUAACCUCGGGAAACUGAGAAUAAUGCCCCAUAGCCCACUACGCCUGGAACGGUGAGUGGGUCAAAGCUCCGGCGGCAUAGGAUGGGCCUGCGCCGUAUCAGGUUGUAGGGGGUGUAAAGUACCCUCUAGCCAUCAACGCGUACGGGUGUUGGGAGACAUUGCCCGGAGAUGGAUUCUGAGACACGAAUCCAGACCCUACGGGGUGCAGCAGGCGCGAAAACUUGGCAAUGCGAGCAAUCGUGACCAGGGAACUCCAAGUGCGUAGGGUAAGACCUACGCUUUUCUUGACUCUUCAAAGGUCUUGGAAUAAGGGGUGGGUAAGGACGGUGCCAGCCGCCGCGGUAAUACCGGCGCCUCAAGUGGUAGUCGCUUUUAUUGGGCCUAAAACGUCCGUAGCCGGUCUGGUACAUUCGUGGGUAAAUCAACCCGCUCAACGGGUUGAAUUCUGCGAGCACGGCCAGACUUGGGACCGGGAGAGGUAUGGGGUACUCUCAGGGUAGGGGUAAAAUCCAGUCAUCCUGAGGGGACCACCUGUUGCGAAGGCGCCAUACUAGAACGGAUCCGACGGUCAGGGACGAAGCCUAGGGGCACGAACCGGAUUAGAUACCCGGGUAGUCCUAGGUGUAAACGCUGUGGACUUGGUGUUGGGGAUUCUACGAGUAUCCCCAGUGCCGAAGUGAAGAUGUUAAGUCCACUGCCUGGGGAGUACGGUCGCAAGGCUGAAACUUAAAGGAAUUGGCGGGGGAGCACAGCAACGAGAGGAGCGUGCGGUUUAAUUGGAUUCAACGCCGGA